rnacentral:rRNA from 1 species
ACGAACGCUGGCGGCUGCUUAACACAUGCAAGUCGAACGGAGUGGCGAACGGGUGAGUAACGCGUGAGCAACCUGCCUAUGACAGCGGGAUAGCCUAGGGAAACCGGGAUUACUACCGCAUAGUCAUAGAUGGGCUCGCGUCUGAUUAGCUAGUUGGUGAGAUAACAGCCCACCCAGGCGACGAUAAGUAGCCGGUCUGAGAGGAUGAACGGCGACAUUGGAACUGAGACACGGUCCAAACUCCUACGGGAGGCAGCAGUGGCGAAUACUGCCCAAUGGGGGAAACCCUGAUGCAGCGACGCCGCGAGAACGAAGAAGGUAUGCGUAUCGUAAAGUUCUGUCCUAGGGGAAGCAGUACCAUAGAAGAAAGCUCCGGCUAAAUACGUGCCAGCAGCCGCGGUAAUAC